GAGCGCAACCCUUAUCCUUUGUUGCCAGCGGUCCGGCCGGGAACUCAAAGGAGACUGCCAGUGAUAAACUGGAGGAAGGUGGGGAUGACGUCAAGUCAUCAUGGCCCUUACGACCAGGGCUACACACGUGCUACAAUGGCGCAUACAAAGAGAAGCGACCUCGCGAGAGCAAGCGGACCUCAUAAAGUGCGUCGUAGUCCGGAUUGGAGUCUGCAACUCGACUCCAUGAAGUCGGAAUCGCUAGUAAUCGUGGAUCAGAAUGCCACGGUGAAUACGUUCCCGGGCCUUGUACACACCGCCCGUCACACCAUGGGAGUGGGUUGCAAAAGAAGUAGGUAGCUUAACCUUCGGGAGGGCGCUUACCACUUUGUGAUUCAUGACUGGGGUGAAGUCGUAACAAGGUAACCGUAGGGGAACCUGCGGUUGGAUCACCUCCUU
rnacentral:rRNA from 1 species